rnacentral:rRNA from 1 species
CCCUUAGAUGUUCUGGGCUGCACGCGCGCUACACUGACGCACGCAACAGGUGCCUGCUCCGAGAGGACUGGGUAAUCAUUUGAGUGUGCGUCGUGAUGGGGAUAGAAUAUUGUAAUUAUUACUCUUCAACGAGGAAUUCCUAGUAAGCGCCAGUCAGCAGCUUGCGCUGAUUACGUCCCUGCCCUUUGUACACACCGCCCGUCGCUCCUACCGAUGGGUGAUCCGGUGAAUGAUUCGGACUUCAGCGGCUCCCCUGGGGUGCGCCGGAGAAAGUUUUGUGAACCUUAUCACUUGGAGGAAGGAGAGGUCGUAACA